UUGAGACGUCAAAACUCCGAUUUCGGCUCGGACAAAGGCACUGAUAAGCCCGUCUUAAU
rnacentral:tRNA from 1 species